GCGCCCUUCGAGCUUCGGGGUGCCCGCGCCUGCCGCGGGAGAAUCGGGAAGGCGGUGAAAGUCCGCCGCGCGCCCAGCGCCGUGAAGGGGAUCGUCCGGACAAGGUUUGCCCAGUCACUGGCCCGCGAGGGCCGGGAAGGCGUCCGGACGGGAUGAUCCUUAGCCGGAAGACCGGCCCCGAAGCGUUCAAGCAG
rnacentral:ncRNA from 2 species